GGUUAAGCGACUAAGCGUACACGGUGGAUGCCCUGGCAGUCAGAGGCGAUGAAGGGCGUGCUAAUCUGCGAUAAGCGCCGGUAAGGUGAUAUGAACCGUUAUAACCGGCGAUACCCGAAUGGGGAAACCCAGUGUGACUCGUCACACUAUCAUUAACUGAAUCCAUAGGUUAAUGAGGCGAACCGGGGGAACUGAAACAUCUAAGUACCCCGAGGAAAAGAAAUCAACCGAGAUUCCCCCAGUAGCGGCGAGCGAACGGGGAGGAGCCCAGAGCCUGAAUCAGCAUGUGUGUUAGUGGAAGCGUCUGGAAAGGCGCGCGAUACAGGGUGACAGCCCCGUACACAAAAGCGCAUGUGCUGUGAGCUCGAUGAGUAGGGCGGGACACGUGGUAUCCUGUCUGAAUAUGGGGGGACCAUCCUCCAAGGCUAAAUACUCCUGACUGACCGAUAGUGAACCAGUACCGUGAGGGAAAGGCGAAAAGAACCCCGGCGAGGGGAGUGAAAAAGAACCUGAAACCGUGUACGUACAAGCAGUGGGAGCACCCUUUGGGGUGUGACUGCGUACCUUUUGUAUAAUGGGUCAGCGACUUAUAUUCUGUAGCAAGGUUAACCGAAUAGGGGAGCCGCAGGGAAACCGAGUCUUAACCGGGCGUUAAGUUGCAGGGUAUAGACCCGAAACCCGGUGAUCUAGCCAUGGGCAGGUUGAAGGUUGGGUAACACUAACUGGAGGACCGAACCGACUAAUGUUGAAAAAUUAGCGGAUGACCUGUGGCUGGGGGUGAAAGGCCAAUCAAACCGGGAGAUAGCUGGUUCUCCCCGAAAGCUAUUUAGGUAGCGCCUCGUGAAUUCAUCUCCGGGGGUAGAGCACUGUUUCGGCUAGGGGGCCAUCCCGGCUUACCAACCCGAUGCAAACUGCGAAUACCGGAGAAUGUUAUCACGGGAGACACACGGCGGGUGCUAACGUCCGUCGUGAAGAGGGAAACAACCCAGACCGCCAGCUAAGGUCCCAAAGUCAUGGUUAAGUGGGAAACGAUGUGGGAAGGCCCAGACAGCCAGGAUGUUGGCUUAGAAGCAGCCAUCAUUUAAAGAAAGCGUAAUAGCUCACUGGUCGAGUCGGCCUGCGCGGAAGAUGUAACGGGGCUAAACCAUGCACCGAAGCUGCGGCAGCGACACUCAGGUGUUGUUGGGUAGGGGAGCGUUCUGUAAGCCUGUGAAGGUGGCCUGUGAGGGUGGCUGGAGGUAUCAGAAGUGCGAAUGCUGACAUAAGUAACGAUAAAGCGGGUGAAAAGCCCGCUCGCCGGAAGACCAAGGGUUCCUGUCCAACGUUAAUCGGGGCAGGGUGAGUCGACCCCUAAGGCGAGGCCGAAAGGCGUAGUCGAUGGGAAACGGGUUAAUAUUCCCGUACUUGGUGUUACUGCGAAGG
rnacentral:rRNA from 1 species